CUUUAUAACGUCAUGUCUUGUGUUAUGUAAGUAUGUUGCUCCAACUGAAGAGAAAGUCACCUAACGUCUAGAAUGAAUACAAAAAUGGUGGCUAACAGGGCGGAGUCCGGAAGAAGAGGACCUGAAAGAUGUUUCACUUCUGUUUGUUGUCUCAUUUGGAAGCGUUCUGCUAAAAAGUCUGAUUUCCCGCCAGGGGCAUUCAGAUGUGAGAUGAGACAACUUCCUGUUCUUGGUGACAGUGCUGAAAUGAAGCUUCCUGCCACCAAGCGUUAAGGUGAAGGCGGCCUGAAUCCAGCGUGACAUCACUCUCACUUCACUUGAGGACCAAAGGCGAGGUUUUUCGGCAUUGGGGAAGAAGUCCAGGAAGCUGUGUCGACAGAUAAGACUUGAAGAGCGACUGGUUUAUGGUGUUUGGCGGCACACAUGGAAGGUCUGUGCGGUCUCAGGACCCUGCUGCUGUGGGCGGCUGGCAUCUCUUUGGCCUACUGUCAAACCACAAC